rnacentral:rRNA from 1 species
UACAGAGGGUGCAAGCGUUAAUCGGAUUUACUGGGCGUAAAGCGCGCGUAGGUGGCCAAUUAAGUCAAAUGUGAAAUCCCCGAGCUUAACUUGGGAAUUGCAUUCGAUACUGGUUGGCUAGAGUAUGGGAGAGGAUGGUAGAAUUCCAGGUGUAGCGGUGAAAUGCGUAGAGAUCUGGAGGAAUACCGAUGGCGAAGGCAGCCAUCUGGCCUAAUACUGACACUGAGGUGUGAAAGCAUGGGGAGCAAACAGGAUUA